GAUGAACGCUGGCGGCGUGCUUAACACAUGCAAGUCGAACGGAACUACUCCAAUGAGAGUCUUCGGAAAGGAUUUGGUUUAGUUUAGUGGCGGACGGGUGAGUAACGCGUGGGUAACCUGCCCUAUACAGGGGGAUAACAGUUGGAAACGACUGUUAAUACCGCAUAAGCGCACAGGAGCGCAUGCUCCGGUGUGAAAAACUCCGGUGGUAUAGGAUGGACCCGCGUCUGAUUAGCUGGUUGGCGGGGUAACGGCCCACCAAGGCGACGAUCAGUAGCCGGCCUGAGAGGGUGAACGGCCACAUUGGGACUGAGACACGGCCCAAACUCCUACGGGAGGCAGCAGUGGGGAAUAUUGCACAAUGGGGGAAACCCUGAUGCAGCGACGCCGCGUGAGCGAAGAAGUAUCUCGGUAUGUAAAGCUCUAUCAGCAGGGAAGAAAAUGACGGUACCUGACUAAGAAGCCCCGGCUAACUACGU
rnacentral:rRNA from 1 species